rnacentral:lncRNA from 1 species
CACAAAGGGCCAAGGUCAGGAACUGCCCCUUCUCUGUUCUUAAUCUCACCCCAGGACCUGGGCCAAGUAAGAGAUACAGUAGAAAACCCAGAUAAAGCCAAAAGAAAGCAACCACCUGGAAUUUCGCACCCAGAACAAACCUUUCUUCACAUGUGCACGGAUUUCUUUCUAGACUUUUCUUCAUCCAUCCAGGCAUUUUCAUACAAAAAGUGAAUCAUACCCCACAGAGAGUCUGCAACCUGCCGAGCUGUUUCCCACUCACCGCUAGAUCGUGGCUCUCUUUCGUGCCAAUGAAUAUACUUUUACAACAUCAUUCCUGCAGCUGUGCACGCACUUUGGGUGUGGCCAGAAAGUGAUUGAGGUCGACUGAGCCCCUGUAGGUUGGAUUUCUUUGGAGCAAAGUGAGUUUUCCAGAGUUUUUUCAUUUUGUUUUUGCCUCCCUUGGGGAAGACAGGAACUUCAAAGCCCUCAUUUCUCUGGUGCAAAACGGGUUUUGACAAAUCCAC